AAUAGCCUGACGGCUGAACCAGCAACUUGGAGGAAUGUAUAUCGACUCUGUCGAAUAAAAUUCUAGUUAAGUUAUGAUAAUGACAUUUCUUAACUAUGUGUCUUGACCAAAUCACGUGCCAGCAGUCGCGGUAAUACGUGGAAGACUAGUGUUAUUCAUCUUUAACAGGUUUAAAGGGUACCUAGACGGCAAAUCAAGCCCCAAAAGGGGACUAAUUUACUAGAGUUUAAUAAGAGAGGGGGAGUACUGAUGAGUGGAGGGAUGAAAUAUUAUGAUACCAUUAGGAACAGACAAAGGCGAAAGCGACCUUUUACAUAAAACUGACGUUGAGGGACGAAGGCUUUAGUCGUGAACAGGAUUAGAUACCCAAGUAAUUAAAGCAGACAAUGAUGAAUGUCAUAGAUUAGUAAUUUUAUAUUUAGUAACUCGUUUUAUUAAUAUCAUAAAAGUAUACUAUUAAUCUAUAAAUGAAAGUGUAAGCAUUCCACCUCAAGAGUAAUGUGGCAACGCAGAAACUGAAAUCAUUAGACCGUUUCUGAAACCAGUAGUGAAGUAUGUUGUUUAAUUAGAUAAUCCGCAAAAGACCUCACCACAAUUUGUAUAUUAUUAUUUUAUAAUAAUACAAGCGUUGCACGGCUGUCUUCAGUUAAUGUCGUGAGAUUAGGUUAGUUCCAUUAAAUUAACGUAAACCCUUGCUUUAUUUAUAUUAUAAAGUAGAUCACCGCUAUAUUGGAUGUGAUAAUAGGGACUAAGACAAGUCAUCAUGGCCUGAAUAUUGUGGGCGAUAGACGUGCCACAUAAUCGGACACAAAGGGAUGCAAAAUUGUGAAAUAAAGCUAAUCCCAAAAAAUCCGAUAAAAUAU
rnacentral:rRNA from 1 species